rnacentral:rRNA from 1 species
AACGAACGCUGGCGGCAUGCCUAACACAUGCAAGUCGAACGAGACCUUCGGGUCUAGUGGCGCACGGGUGCGUAACGCGUGGGAACCUGCCCUUAGGUUCGGAAUAACUCCCCGAAAGGGGUGCUAAUACCGGAUAAUGUCUUCGGACCAAAGAUUAAUCGCCUUUGGAUGGGCCCGCGUUGGAUUAGCUAGUUGGUAGGGUAAAAGCCUACCAAGGCGACGAUCCAUAGCUGGUCUGAGAGGAUGAUCAGCCACACUGGGACUGAGACACGGCCCAGACUCCUACGGGAGGCAGCAGUGGGGAAUAUUGGACAAUGGGCGAAAGCCUGAUCCAGCAAUGCCGCGUGAGUGAUGAAGGCCUUAGGGUUGUAAAGCUCUUUUACCCGGGAUGAUAAUGACAGUACCGGGAGAAUAAGCGCCGGCUAACUCCGUG